GUGGGGAAUAUUGGGCAAUGGGCGCAAGCCUGACCCAGCAACGCCGCGUGAGGGAAGAAGGUCUUCGGAUUGUAAACCUCUGUCCUUGGGGACGAAAAAAAUGACGGUACCCAAGGAGGAAGCUCCGGCUAACUACGUGCCAGCAGCCGCGGUAAUACGUAGGGAGCGAGCGUUGUCCGGAAUUACUGGGCGUAAAGGGUGCGUAGGCGGCUAGGCAAGUCAGAUGUGAAAUCCCCGGGCUUAACUCGGGUGGUGCAUUUGAAACUGCUUGGCUUGAGUGCAGGAGAGGAAAGCGGAAUUCCUAGUGUAGCGGUGAAAUGCGUAGAUAUUAGGAGGAACACCAGUGGCGAAGGCGGCUUUCUGGACUGUAACUGACGCUGAGGCACGAAAGCGUGGGGAGCAAACAGGAUUAGAAACCCGAGUAGUCC
rnacentral:rRNA from 1 species